GUGGGGAAUUUUGGACAAUGGGCGCAAGCCUGAUCCAGCAAUGCCGCGUGCAGGAAGAAGGCCUUCGGGUUGUAAACUGCUUUUGUACGGAACGAAACGGUCCUGGUUAAUACCUGGGGCUAAUGACGGUACCGUAAGAAUAAGCACCGGCUAACUACGUGCCAGCAGCCGCGGUAAUACGUAGGGUGCGAGCGUUAAUCGGAAUUACUGGGCGUAAAGCGUGCGCAGGCGGUGCUGUAAGACAGGCGUGAAAGCCCCGGGCUCAACCUGGGGAUUGCGCUUGUGACUGCAAGGCUGGAGUGCGGCAGAGGGGGAUGGAAUUCCGCGUGUAGCAGUGAAAUGCGUAGAUAUGCGGAGGAACACCGAUGGCGAAGGCAAUCCCCUGGGCCUGCACUGACGCUCAUGCACGAAAGCGUGGGGAGCAAACAGGAUUAGAUACCCUUGUAGUCC
rnacentral:rRNA from 1 species